AAACCAUGGUGCGGACACUAAAUUAACAAAUUAUUGAAUCUUUCCCAUGCCUCAGAAAAAGUUUCAUCAGCCUAUUAAGUGAACUACAUGAUAUUAUCUCUAAGUGU